rnacentral:rRNA from 1 species
CCUACGGGAGGCUGCAGUGAGGAAUAUUGGUCAAUGGACGAGAGUCUGAACCAGCCAAGUAGCGUGAAGGAUGACUGCCCUAUGGGUUGUAAACUUCUUUUAUAUGGGAAUAAAAUGUUCCACGUGUGGGAUUUUGUAUGUACCAUAUGAAUAAGGAUCGGCUAACUCCGUGCCAGCAGCCGCGGUAAUACGGAGGAUCCGAGCGUUAUCCGGAUUUAUUGGGUUUAAGGGGAGCGUAGGUGGAUUGUUAAGUCAGUUGUGAAAGUUUGCGGCUCAACCGUAAAAUUGCAGUUGAAACUGGCAGUCUUGAGUACAGUAGAGGUGGGCGGAAUUCGUGGUGGAGCGGUGAAAUGCUUAGAUAUCACGAAGAACUCCGAUUGCGAAGGCAGUUCACUGGACUGCAACUGACACUGAGGCUCGAAAGUGUGGGUAUCAAACAGGAUUAGAUACCCGGGUAGUC